rnacentral:lncRNA from 1 species
UUCCCUAACUUAGAGGAGUUUUAUUCAACAACAAGAAGUAUUUGUUGCAAACUUAACUCUUCAAGGAGUCAUCAUCAAGUACUUGGAAUCUAGCCAACGGGUCAAAAAAAAUGAAUACAAGUCUAGGUCACACAAUUUCUCUAAGGGCUUUGUUGGUGCAGAAUUCUGCCGACGCCGGAGAAGCUGGAGUUGAGAUGACCGCGUCCGCC